CUCCGAGCGAGGCGGCAAGAUGGACGCGGGAUUUUUCCGCGGAACAAGUGCAGAACAGGAUAAUCGGUUCAGCAACAAACAGAAGAAACUACUGAAGCAGCUGAAAUUUGCAGAAUGCCUAGAAAAAAAGGUGGACAUGAGCAAAGUAAAUUUGGAGGUUAUAAAGCCUUGGAUAACAAAAAGAGUAACGGAAAUCCUUGGGUUUGAAGAUGAUGUUGUGAUUGAGUUUAUAUUCAACCAGCUGGAAGUGAAGAAUCCAGACUCCAAAAUGAUGCAAAUCAACCUGACUGGAUUUUUGAAUGGAAAAAAUGCUCGAGAAUUUAUGGGAGAACUGUGGCCCCUGCUGCUAAGUGCACAAGAAAACAUCGCGGGAAUCCCUUCUGCUUUCCUAGAACUGAAGAAAGAAGAAAUAAAACAAAGACAGAUUGAACAAGAAAAACUGGCAUCUAUGAAAAAGCAAGAUGAAGACAAAGAUAAAAGAGAUAAGGAAGAAAAAGAAAGCAGCAGAGAAAAAAGGGAGCGGUCUCGUAGCCCAAGAAGACGCAAAUCCAGAUCUCCUUCCCCUAGAAGACGAUCUUCCCCUGUCAGGAGAGAGAGAAAGCGCAGUCAUUCUCGAUCUCCCCGUCACAGAACCAAGAGCCGGAGUCCUUCCCCUGCUCCAGAAAAGAAGGAAAAAACUCCAGAGCUCCCAGAACCUUCAGUGAAAGUAAAAGAACCUUCAGUACAAGAGGCUACUUCUACUAGUGACAUUCUGAAAGUUCCCAAACCUGAACCUAUACCAGAGCCUAAAGAACCUUCUCCGGAAAAAAAUUCCAAAAAAGAAAAGGAGAAGGAGAAGACCCGACCACGAUCUCGGUCACGCUCCAAAUCAAGAUCCCGGACGCGGUCCCGCUCUCCUUCUCACACUCGACCUAGACGGCGCCAUAGAUCCCGAUCAAGAUCGUAUUCACCUAGAAGGCGGCCAAGCCCAAGAAGGCGGCCAUCUCCUCGAAGAAGAACUCCGCCAAGAAGAAUGCCUCCUCCACCAAGGCACAGAAGGAGUAGAUCUCCAGUAAGACGAAGAAGACGUUCGUCAGCAUCCUUGUCUGGGAGUAGCUCAUCAUCCUCUUCAUCUCGUUCACGGUCACCACCAAAGAAGCCUCCCAAGAGGACAUCCAGCCCCCCUCGGAAAACUCGUAGGUUAUCUCCUUCAGCAAGUCCUCCAAGGCGAAGGCACAGGCCAUCACCUCCUGCAACUCCACCACCCAAAACUCGGCAUUCCCCUACACCCCAGCAGUCAAACCGUACAAGAAAAAGUCGUGUUUCUGUGUCUCCAGGGAGAACUUCAGGUAAAGUGACAAAACAUAAAGGUACUGAGAAAAGAGAAUCCCCUUCACCAGCACCGAAGCCUAGAAAAGUAGAGUUAUCUGAAUCGGAAGAAGAUAAAGGUGGCAAAAUGGCUGCAGCAGAUUCUGUGCAGCAGAGACGCCAAUACAGACGACAAAACCAGCAGUCUUCAUCUGACUCUGGCUCCUCCUCCUCCUCAGAAGAUGAACGACCCAAGAGAUCCCAUGUGAAGAAUGGUGAGGUUGGCAGGCGGCGGAGACAUUCCCCUUCCCGGAGUGCUUCUCCAUCACCACGAAAGCGCCAAAAAGAGACUUCCCCUCGGAUGCAGAUGGGAAAGCGAUGGCAAUCGCCAGUGACUAAAAGUGGUAGACGGAGGAGAAGUCCAUCCCCACCACCCACCAGAAGGCGACGGUCUCCUUCUCCCGCCCCUCCUCCUCGACGGCGCAGGACUCCCACACCACCACCACGACGAAGGACUCCUUCUCCUCCCCCACGUCGGCGCUCACCUUCUCCUAGAAGAUACUCUCCUCCAAUACAGAGGAGAUACUCUCCUUCUCCACCUCCAAAGAGAAGAACGGCUUCACCUCCUCCCCCUCCUAAACGAAGAGCAUCACCAUCUCCACCACCAAAGCGGCGGGUCUCCCAUUCUCCACCUCCCAAACAAAGAAGCUCCCCAGUCACCAAGAGACGUUCACCUUCAUUAUCAUCCAAGCAUAGGAAAGGGUCUUCCCCAAGCCGCUCUACCAGGGAGGCCCGAUCACCACAACCAAACAAACGGCAUUCGCCCUCACCACGGCCUCGAGCUCCUCAGACCUCCUCAAGUCCUCCACCCGUUCGAAGAGGAGCGUCGUCAUCACCCCAAAGAAGGCAGUCCCCGUCUCCAAGUACUAGGCCCAUUAGGAGAGUCUCCAGGACUCCGGAACCUAAAAAGAUAAAAAAGGCUGCUUCCCCAAGCCCACAGUCUGUAAGGAGGGUCUCAUCCUCCCGAUCUGUCUCCGGGUCUCCUGAGCCAGCAGCUAAAAAGCCCCCAGCACCUCCAUCCCCCGUCCAGUCUCAGUCACCGUCUACAAACUGGUCACCAGCUGUACCGGUCAAAAAGGCCAAAAGCCCAACACCGAGCCCAUCACCGCCAAGAAAUUCAGAUCAGGAGGGAGGUGGAAAGAAAAAGAAGAAAAAGAAGGACAAGAAACACAAAAAGGAUAAGAAGCACAAGAAGCACAAAAAACACAAGAAGGAAAAGGCUGUGGCUGCAGCUGCUGCAGCUGCUGUGACCCCUGCAGCCAUUGCAGCUGCCACAACCACAUUAGCACAGGAAGAGCCAGUGGCAGCGCCAGAGCCGAAGAAG
rnacentral:sRNA from 1 species